rnacentral:rRNA from 1 species
ACCUGCGGAAGGAUCAUUGUCGUGACCCUUAUCAAAACAGACUGUGAACAUGUUAUCCAUGCUGCCGGUUGAUGGGUGUUGCACCUGUCUCUCGGAACAGGGCACGAACCCUUUGAGGGGGAAGGCCCUAAAAGAACCCACGGCGCUGUAUAGCGUCAAGGAACACUUAGGUUGCCUAGCACGGGCAGGUACUGGCUUGCUGGUUCCUCCGUUGUGCAUCAAUGAUCAUCUGAUAUAAUCCACAUGACUCUCGGCAACGGAUAUCUUGGCUCUCGCAUCGAUGAAGAACGUAGCAAAAUGCGAUACCUGGUGUGAAUUGCAGAAUCCCGUGAACCAUCGAGUUUUUGAACGCAAGUUGCGCCCGAGGCCAUCUGGUCGAGGGCACGUCUGCUUGGGCGUCACGCCAAAAGGCACUCCCCAUCCGUCACAUUGAGGACGAGGAAGUGGUAUUUGGCUCUCCAUGCAUCUAGGUGUGGAGGGCCUAAGUUGGGGCUGCCAGUGGUGUCUGAUCACAGCACAUGGUGGAUGGCGCAAGUUAUUCUCAGUGCUAUGUUCUAGGCGAAUUUGGUGAUGAUGCCCUUGUCACCCAUGUACCGAAAGCAUGUCGCUUGGAUCGCGACCCCAAGUCAGUCGGGACUACCUGCUGAAUUUAAGCAUAUCAAUAAGCGG